UUUACUCGAGUUACACCAGCUAAAAUUAGUUUUAUUAUUAUAAAUAAGGUUAUCAUUGACUACCGUUUUUAUUUAUUUUUGUUAUUUUUAAGUUUUUAUUAAUUUAAUCAUUUUAAAACAAUCAUUGUUAUCGUGGAAACGCACAUUGUUUUAAAUAUUUUACCAUAAUAUGGCGUAGUACCAUCACUAAUUGUAUUGCUGACAAAGCAAUAUUAUCAACUGAACUCUGCUCAGAAUCGUUUUUUCGUUAGCAAUGGUUUAUCGUUGCUUACAAAUAUACAUCAAGUUCCUAUCAAUAGCCUACCUUUUUAAAUUUCCACCUACAAUAGUGGCUACACCCAUGUGCGAAGUGUCCGUUCUUUUUUUUUAAUAACACUUACACAAAUUAUCGAGCUACUCGUU